rnacentral:sRNA from 1 species
UUGUCAGCAUCUCUUUAAUAGUAGGCCA